GCCCGGGUGGUGGAAUUGGUAGACACGCUAGGUUCAGGGUCUAGUGGUUGCGAAACCGUGCUGGUUCGAGUCCAGUCCCGGGCA
rnacentral:tRNA from 1 species